CAGUCGCCGCGGGAAUACGAAGGGUGCAAGCGUUACUCGGAAUUACUGGGCGUAAAGCGUGCGUAGGUGGUGGUUUAAGUCCGUUGUGAAAGCCCUGGGCUCAACCUGGGAAUUGCAGUGGAUACUGGGUCACUAGAGUGUGGUAGAGGAUAGUGGAAUUUCCGGUGUAGCAGUGAAAUGCGUAGAGAUCGGAAGGAACAUCUGUGGCGAAGGCGACUAUCUGGGCCAACACUGUCACUGAGGCACGAAAGCGUGGGGAGCAAACAGGAUUAGAUACCCCAGUAGUCCCUGUCUCUUAUAA
rnacentral:rRNA from 1 species